rnacentral:rRNA from 1 species
CCUCAAUGGCAGCUUAACACAUGCAAGUCGUACGGUGAACACGGAGCUUGCUCUGUGGGAUCAGUGGCGAACGGGUGAGUAACACGUGAGCAACCUGCCCCUGACUCUGGGAUAAGCGCUGGAAACGGCGUCUAAUACUGGAUACGAGUAGCGACCGCAUGGUCAGUUACUGGAAAGAUUUAUUGGUUGGGGAUGGGCUCGCGGCCUAUCAGCUUGUUGGUGAGGUAAUGGCUCACCAAGGCGUCGACGGGUAGCCGGCCUGAGAGGGUGACCGGCCACACUGGGACUGAGACACGGCCCAGACUCCUACGGGAGGCAGCAGUGGGGAAUAUUGCACAAUGGGCGCAAGCCUGAUGCAGCAACGCCGCGUGAGGGAUGACGGCCUUCGGGUUGUAAACCUCUUUUAGCAGGGAAGAAGCGAAAGUGACGGUACCUGCAGAAAAAGCGCCGGCUAACUACGUGCCAGCAGCCGCGGUAAUACGUAGGGCGCAAGCGUUAUCCGGAAUUAUUGGGCGUAAAGAGCUCGUAGGCGGUUUGUCGCGUCUGCUGUGAAAUCCGGAGGCUCAACCUCCGGCCUGCAGUGGGUACGGGCAGACUAGAGUGCGGUAGGGGAGAUUGGAAUUCCUGGUGUAGCGGUGGAAUGCGCAGAUAUCAGGAGGAACACCGAUGGCGAAGGCAGAUCUCUGGGCCGUAACUGACGCUAAGGAGCGAAAGGGUGGGGAGCAAACAGGCUUAAAUACCCUGGUAGUCCCCCCCGUAAACGUUGG